rnacentral:rRNA from 1 species
UACGGAGGGUGCAAGCGUUGUUCGGAAUCACUGGGCGUAAAGCGCGUGUAGGCGGCUAUUUAAGUCUGAUGUGAAAGCCCUGGGCUUAACCCAGGAAGUGCAUUGGAUACUGGGUAGCUCGAGUACCGGAGAGGAGAGUGGAAUUCCGGGUGUAGCGGUGGAAUGCGUAGAUAUCGAGAGGAACAUCGGUGGCGAAGGCGGCCUUCUGGACAGCGACUGACGCUGAGACGCGAAAGCGUGGGGAGCAAACAGG